rnacentral:rRNA from 1 species
CGGGUGAGUAACGCGUAAAGAACUUGCCUCAUAGUCUGGGACAACAUUUGGAAACGGAUGCUAAUACCGGAUAUUAUGCUUUCUUCGCAUGGAGGAAGUAUGAAAGCUAUAUGCGCUAUGAGAGAGCUUUGCGUCCCAUUAGCUAGUUGGUGAGGUAACGGCCCACCAAGGCGAUGAUGGGUAGCCGGCCUGAGAGGGUGAACGGCCACAAGGGGACUGAGACACGGCCCUUACUCCUACGGGAGGCAGCAGUG